ACUCGAGUUGUGUUUUCCUGUAAAUAUGGACAAAGAGUAAUGUUGAUGGAAUUUAGGUGAGUUAUGUGAGUCAUACAUGUUCAGAAAUUACUAUUACACAUGC